rnacentral:rRNA from 1 species
CACGUAGGCGGAUACUUAAGUCAGGGGUGAAAUCCCGGGGCUCAACCCCGGAACUGCCUUUGAUACUGGGUAUCUCGAGUCCGGAAGAGGUGAGUGGAAUUCCGAGUGUAGAGGUGAAAUUCGUAGAUAUUCGGAGGAACACCAGUGGCGAAGGCGGCUCACUGGUCCGGUACUGACGCUGAGGUGCGAAAGCGUGGGGAGCAAACA